rnacentral:rRNA from 1 species
GGAGGGUGCAAGCGUUAUCCGGAUUCACUGGGUUUAAAGGGUGCGUAGGAGGGCAGGUAAGUCAGUGGUGAAAUCCCCGAGCUUAACUUGGGAACUGCCGUUGAUACUAUCUGUCUUGAAUGUUGUGGAGGUAAGCGGAAUAUGUCAUGUAGCGGUGAAAUGCUUAGAUAUGACAUAGAACACCAAUUGCGAAGGCAGCUUGCUACACAAUUAUUGACUCUGAUGCACGAAAGCGUGGGGAUCAAACAGGAUUAGAUACCCUGGUAGUCCACGCCCUAAACGAUGGAUACUCGACAUCAGCGAUACACAGUUGGUGUCUGAGCGAAAGCAUUAAGUAUCCCACCUGGGAAGUACGACCGCAAGGUUG